GACGAACGCUGGCGGCGUGCUUAACACAUGCAAGUCGAACGGAAAGGCCCUACUUUUGUGGGGUGCUCGAGUGGCGAACGGGUGAGUAACACGUGAGUAACCUGCCCUUGACUUUGGGAUAACUUCAGGAAACUGGGGCUAAUACCGGAUAGGAGCUCCUGCUGCAUGGUGGGGGUUGGAAAGUUUCGGCGGUUGGGGAUGGACUCGCGGCUUAUCAGCUUGUUGGUGGGGUAGUGGCUUACCAAGGCUUUGACGGGUAGCCGGCCUGAGAGGGUGACCGGCCACAUUGGGACUGAGAUACGGCCCAGACUCCUACGGGAGGCAGCAGUGGGGAAUAUUGCACAAUGGGCGGAAGCCCGAUGCAGCAACGCCGCGUGCGGGAUGACGGCCUUCGGGUUGUAAACCGCUUUCGCCUGUGACGAAGCGUGAGUGACGGUAAUGGGUAAAGAAGCACCGGCUAACUACGUG
rnacentral:rRNA from 1 species